rnacentral:rRNA from 1 species
GACGAACGCUGGCGGCGUGCUUAACACAUGCAAGUCGAGCGGUAAGGCCCUUUCGGGGGUACACGAGCGGCGAACGGGUGAGUAACACGUGGGUGACCUGCCUUUAGCUCUGGGAUAAGCCUGGGAAACUGGGUCUAAUACCGGAUAUGACCUCAUGACGCAUGUUGUGGGGUGGAAAGCCUUGUGCGGCUAGAGAUGGGCCCGCGGCCUAUCAGCUUGUUGGUGGGGUGAUGGCCACCAAGGCGACGACGGGUAGCCGGCCUGAGAGGGCGACCGGCCACACUGGGACUGAGACACGGCCCAGACUCCUACGGGAGGCAGCAGUGGGGAAUCUUGCGCAAUGGGCGAAAGCCUGACGCAGCGACGCCGCGUGUGGGAUGACGGUCUUCGGAUUGUAACCACUGUCGGGAGGGACGAAUACGCCGCAAGGCGGGUGACGGUACCUCCAAAGGAAGCACCGGCUAACUCCGUGCCAGCCGCCGCGGUAAC